rnacentral:rRNA from 1 species
GUAUGGUGCAAGCGUUAUCCGGAUUUACUGGGUGUAAAGGGAGCGUAGACGGAUGGGCAAGUCUGAUGUGAAAACCCGGGGCUCAACCCCGGGACUGCAUUGGAAACUGUUCAUCUAGAGUGCUGGAGAGGUAAGUGGAAUUCCUAGUGUAGCGGUGAAAUGCGUAGAUAUUAGGAGGAACACCAGUGGCGAAGGCGGCUUACUGGACGGUAACUGACGUUGAGGCUCGAAAGCGUGGGGAGCAAACAGGAUUAGAUACCCUGGUAGUCCACGCCGUAAACGAUGACUACUAGGUGUCGGGUGGCAAAGCCAUUCGGUGCCGCAGCAAACGCAAUAAGUAGUCCACCUGGGAAGU